GCUGCAGGAAUUCCCAAUACUAUCGAUACGGGUUGUGGGAGCAAGAUCCCGGAGAUGGAUUCUGAGACAUGAAUCCAGGCCCUACGGGGCGCAGCAGGCGCGCAAACUUUACAAUGCGAGCAAUCGUGAUAAGGAAACCCUGAGUGCCUGUCGAUGCAGGCUGUUCAUAUAUCUAAAUCAUAUGUGAAGAAAGGGCAGGGCAAGACCGGUGCCAGCCGCCGCGGUAAUACCGGCUGCUCGAGUGAUGGCCACUAUUACUGGGUUUAAAGCGUCCGUAGCUUGACUGUUAGGUCUCUUGGGAAAUCUUCGCGCUCAACGUGAAGGCGUCUAAGAGAUACCGGCAGUCUUGGAACUGGGAGAGGUAAACCGUACUUCGGGGGUAGGAGUGAAAUCUUGUAAUCCUCGAGGGACGACCUAUGGCGAAGGCAGUUUACCAGAACAGCUUCGACAGUGAGGGACGAAAGCUGGGGGAGCAAACGGGAUUAGAUACCCCGGUAGUCCCAGCCGUAAAC
rnacentral:rRNA from 1 species